AAUUCCCUUUUGCCAUUCAGCCCCCUUUUUUAAAAAGAAAAGCUCCCCUAUCCUUCUGCUAGGGUUUCUGCUUUGGGGAGCUGCAUAGGAGGGUCAUUGGCGCCUCAACGCCUCGACCUCCGGCCCCGAACCACGAGCUAUAUUAGGUAAGUCUCCUUUCCUUCGAAUUUUUUUAAAAAAAAAUAACUUGCAACAAGAAAACAAAAAGAAACAAGCGAAAAAGAGAAAGAAAGAAAGGGAAAAAAACCUCUUGAAUCUUUAAUCUGACUUUUAUUGAUAUGGCUCGUUUUCGUAUAUUCUCUGCUAUUGUAUGAGUCAAAAAAAUCGGGAAAAACCCAAAAAAUCUCCCUUUUUACAUAUGAUUCAAUUUGGCUUUACAGCCGAUUUUACAACCUCUUUUGCUUGUUUGCAGGUGCGUGGUGGGUGUGGACUCUAACGUGGAGGUGAAAUGGCACACGACUCGUUUAUUCUGAUUUCUGUUUAUGGGUCCCGGGCUGAAUUGGGCCAUAACAGUGAAUAAUAUAUUAAUCGUAAAGAAAAUAGAAUUUUCAUGGUUUGAGAACAACCAAGGCAAAUGCAAGGAGUAGGUAAGAUUUUCCUUCCUUAAAAUGAGAGAUUACAAUUUAACCCUUUAAAAAUUAUUAAAUUAUAAAUUUAUAUGCAUACGAUAAAAUUAAAAUUUUGUCCCAAAAAUGAAAAAAAAUCAAUUUAAUCCAUUGCAAAAAUGUUAAAAUUAUAAAUUAAUAUAUAAUAAAAUUAUACGUUAAUCUUUUAUAAAUUUAUAAUUCAAUUUUAACAAUUAAAAAAAAUUCUAAAUUCACAUCUGCCAACAACUCUGCUAACAGGAAAAAUCUGAAGGAAUUUAGGCUUGAGUGGUUCUUGGAAGGUUGAAAUCAAUACCCAUGACUUACACUACCUCCGAUUUGAUGUAGAGAAAAGAAGUCGCCAUGUAAUUAUUCUUCCAUCGCCAAUUCUUGCUAUUAUACUUUGGGUCGUUUAGUAAAAAAAUUCCAAGCUUGAUACCAGGGAAAAGGUGGAUCGUUUGGUCUCUACAUUUUGAAGUAUUCCUACUUUGUUGCCAAGCCAAAGCAAUUGAAAGACAUUGUGUAAACAUUACUUCUAUUGAUUAUAUUGCUCUACUUUUAUAAUGGUUAUUUUUUUCUUUGUUUUUUAAAAAAUAUUUUUCAAAUUUGAUAUGGUAUAUUUAAGUAAGUAAAAAUUAAUUUUGAAAUUUUGAAAUAAAAUUGGUU
rnacentral:lncRNA from 1 species